rnacentral:lncRNA from 10 species
GCAUAGAAGGUUAAGUGACUUUUCAAAAAUCACACAGCUAGAAGGGUAAGUUACCAGAAAUAAAGUUGGAAUGAGACUUAUUUUUUAUUUCCAAGAGCUUCCUGUAAUUCAACAUGGAUAUUCUUCUUGACUUUCAGGUGUUAAACUUUGUACUCCUGGGAUAAAUUCCUCUUGGUGAUGAAUUGAGGCCAUCAAGCUACAGAUGGUCUUACAAAUGGAACCCCAAAUGAGUUCAACUAACAACUUCUACCGAGGACCCCUGGACUGACCCGCUGGCACUUCCCCUGGCCUAGAGAGUUCCCCUCUGAAGGACACCACAACUGCAGGGCCCCUUCUUCGCCCCUAUCCAGCAGGAAGUAGCUAGAGCUGUCAUCGGCCAAAUUCCCAACAGCAGUUGGGGUGUCCUGUUUAGAGGGGGGAUUGAGAGGUGACAGCGUGCUGGCAGUCCUCAGAGCCCUCGCUUGCUCUUGGCACCUCCGCUGCCUGGGCUCCCACUUUGGCAGCAUUUGAGGAGCCCUUCAGCCCACCACUGCACUGUGGGAGUCCCUUACUGGGCUGGCCAAGGCUGGAGCCCACUCCCUCAGCUUGCAGGGAGGUGUGGAGGGAGAGGCGCCAGCGGGAACCGGGGCUGUGUGUGGCGCUUGCAGGCCAGCUGGAGUUCCGGGUGGGUGUGGGCUUGGCGGGCCUGCACUCGAAGCAGCCGGCCAGCCCUGCUGGCCCCAGGCAAUGAGGGACUUAGCACCCGGGCCAGUGGCUGCGGAGGGUGUACUGGGUCCCCCAGCAGUGCCAGCCCACCGGCGCUGCACUCGAUUUCUCACUGGGCGUUAGCUGCCUUCCCGCAGGGCAGGCCUUGGGACUGCAGCCCGCCAUGCCUGAGCCUUCCCCCGCCUCCGUGGGUUCCUGUGCAGCCCAAGCCUCCGGACGAAUGCCGCCCCCUGCUCCACGGUGCCCAGUCCCAUCGACCGCCCAAGGGCUGAGGAGUGCGAGCACAUGGCGGGGGACUGGCAGGCAGCUCCACCUGCAGCCCUGGUGCGGGAUCCACUGGGUGAAGCCAGCUGGGCUCCUGAGUCUGGUGGGGACAUGGAGAGUCUUUAUAUCUAGCUCAGGGAUUGUAAACACACCAAUCAGCACCCUGUGUCUAGCUCAAGGUUUGUGAGUGCACUAAUCGACACUCUGUAUCUAGCUGCUCUGGUGGGGCCUUGGAGAACCUUUAUGUCUAGGUCAGGGAUUGUAAACACACCAAUCAGCACCCUGUGUCUAGCUCAGGGUUUGUGAGUGCACCAAUUGACACUCUGUAUCUAGCUGCUCUGGUGGGGCCUUGGAGAACCUUUAUGUCUAGCUCAGGGAUUGUAAAUACACCAGUCGGCACUCUGUAUCUAGCUCAAGGUUUGUAAACACACCAAUCAGCACCCUGUGUCUAGCUCAGGGUUUGUGAGUGCACCAAUUGACACUGUAUCUAGCUACUCUGGUGGGGCCUUGGAGAACCUUUGUGUCGAUAUUCUGUAUCUAAGUAAUCUGAUGGGGACGUGGAGAACCUUUGUGUCUAGCUCAGGGAUUGUAAACGCACCAAUCAGCGCCCUGUCAAAACAGACCACUUGGCUCUACCAAUCAGCAGGAUGUGGGUGGGGCCAGAUAAGAGAAUAAAAGCAGGCUGCCCGAGCCGGCAGUGGCAACCUGCUCGGGGCCCCUUCCACACUGUGGAAGUUUUGUUCUUUUGCUCUUUGCAAUAAGUCUUGCUACUGAUCACUCUGGGUCCACGCUGCUUUUAUGAGCUGUAACACUUACCGCGAAGAUCUGCAGCUUCACUCCUGAGCCCAGCAAGACCACGAGCCCACCGGGAGGAACGAACAACUCCAGACGCGCUGCCUUAAGAGCUGUAACACUCACCGCAAAGGUCUGUAGCUUCACUUUUGAGCCAUCGAGACCACGAACCCACCAAAAGGAAGAAACUCUGAACACAUCUGAACAUCAGAAGGAACAAACUCCAGAGGCGCCACCUUAAGAGCUGUAACACUCACUGUGGGGGUCCGUGGCUUCAUUCUUGAAGUCAGUGAGACCAAGAACCCACCAAUUCCGGACACAGAGAGAGUCACCCUUUAUUACUAGUGUCGGGCCUCUGAGCCCAAGCCUGCAAGUAUUCAUCCAGAUGGCCUGAAGCAAGUGAAGAAUCACAAAAGAAGUGAAAAUGGCUGGUUCCUGCCUUAACUGAUGACAUUACCUUGUGAAAUUCCUUCUCUCCCUCAUCCUGGCUCAAAAGCUCCCCCACUGAGCACCUUGUGACCCCCACCCCUGCCAGCCGGAGAACAACCCCCUUUGACUGUAAUUUUCCACUAUCUACCCAAAUCCUAUAAAAGAGCCCCACCCCAUCUCCCUUCACUGACUCUCUUUUCGGACUCAGCCCGCCUGCACCCAGGUGAUUAAAAAGCUUUAUUGCUCACACAAAGCCUGUUUGGUGAUCUCUUCACACGGACUCGUUUGAAAACUAGCAAGAGGUUUAAGUCAAGCAGAUGUCACAAGAGACUGGCACAUGAGGGUUGACACCUAAUUUCCCAAUAAGAAACCUUCAGUUUAACUUGUCUAAGAUUAUUUUUUCCCUUUAGAUUGAAAACUUUUAUUUCAAUACUGUCUUAGUCAAUUCAAGCUGCUGUAACAGUGUACCAUGGGUUGUGUGGCUUACACACAACAGAAAUUUAUUUUCUAUUGUCUUGAAGGCUAGAAAUCCACGAUCAGAGUGCCAGCAGGUCAGUUUCUUUGUAGGAUCCUCUUCUGGGUUGCAGGCUACUAUCUUUUUACUGUAUCCUCACAUGGGGGAAAGAAGGUGAGAAAGCUCUGUGGGGUUUCUUUUAUAAGAGUACUAAUCCCAUACAUGAGGCCUCUACUAUUAUUAUCCAAUUUCCUCCCCAAAGCCCUGCUUCCUAAUACCAUCACAUUGGGGGUUAAGAUUUCAACAUAUGGCUGGGCACAGUGGCUCACACCUGUAAUCCCAGCACUUUGGGAGGCUGAGGCAGGUGGAUCACUUGAGGUCAGGCAUUUGAGACCAGCCUGACCAACAUGGUGAAACCCUGUCUCUACUAAAAAUACAAAAAUUAGCUGAGCGUGGUAGCAUGCACCUGUAGUCCCAGCUACUCAGGAGGCUAAGGCAGGAAGAAUCUUUUUAACCUGGGAGGCUGAGGUUGCAGUGAGCCAGGAUUGUGCCACUGCACUCCAGCCUGGACAACAAAGGGAAACUCCAUCUCAAAAAAAGAUUUCAACAUAUGCAUUUUAGGGGGAGACAAAUAUUCAAUCCAUUGCAAAUACUUAAAUGUAUCUUUUUUUCAUCACAUGAUAUAGAAUUAAAAUAAAAGGAUUCAUCAGCAAAUAACAAAGUAUACAUUUUUGCACAUAUAGAAUAAGAGAAAAUCAUGAGAAAUGUAAAAUACAUCAUGUUUCUAACUUGUCUUCCAAGAUAUUCUGCUCUCUACCUUUGGUAAUAUAAAAAGCACAAUGAGAACACCCAUCUCCUAAUUACAAGGCAGCUACUAGGCCAACCAACAAUCAUGUAGCACACAUGUGGUUAUUUUCAUUGAAGACUCAUGGCUAAACCUUAGUUUUUGAAUAUGCAUAUUACAUGAAAAAUAGCCAAAGCCUAUUUUUGCCUCAACUUCUUUGUAAAUCUAUCUCUUUGCUCACAUAUAAAUUAUUUUCCCGGUUGCAUCCAGAAUGUUACGCUUGAAUGAGUCACGAAGCUCUUCUUAGCCCUUGCCCCUGAGGUACUAUUACCUUAUGUUUUUCCUCACCAUCGGCCUUUUUUUUUUUUUCUCUGCAAAGCUUUUUGAAGCUCAGCUUCAUGGAACAAGAGAAUAAAAAAGAUGAAAAUUAUUGCCAUCGAUCACUUUUAGAUAAAGCCAAAUGUCUUCCAGCCACUCUGAAUUGAUUUUCUUUUCCCCCAUGAGAAAGCAACAGAAAGGAGUUAGAAACCACAUAGGGGACUGAAUCAAUAUAAAAGUGAGAGGCAUUUUGUGGAGGUAAUCACAUGUAGAGAAGCGGGGAGUUCACAGGACUAGUUAAUAGGGCUAAGUUGCUGACUCAGCUUUAUUAACAACUCACUAGGCAAGCCAUAAAACCCUCAGACUUUACACUUAAAUAUGUGUCCCUGCUCCCUUGUGGAGAUAAUUCAGCUGUCAUUUGUUGCAUUCUUUCUAUGCAUCAGACAGAGUUAGGGCCUCUCACAAUGACACGCAGAAGUGAUGGCUUUAUGUAUAGCACUACCGUGCUGACAGCAAUGAGCUCCAGGGUCAGAUGAGAGGGUCGUAAGUAUGAUGAUACUAACAAAAGAAUGCUAGUGGAAUACCACUAGCAUUUAUUAUUUCCACUGACAGCUAAAUACAUCAUGCUUGCACUCUUUUUUUUUUUAACCCCUUAAGGCAACUGGUUACCAUAUCUGUCUUAAUGUGUCUUUACAUUUUUUGUUCAAUUGUGUAAAACAUAUAUAACUAAAUGCGGCAUUUUAGCCAUGUUUAAGCAUACAAUUUAGUCACAUUAGCUACACUCAAAAUGUUGUGCAAUCAUCACCACUAUUUCUGAAAUUCUUUAUCACCUUACAUAGAAACUCUAUAUCCAUUAAGCAGUAACUCCCCUGCUACCACACACACAUACACUGAGAGUCCCUGGUAACCUCUAAUCACUUUCUGCUUCUACAAAUGUGUCUACUGUAGAAAUUCCAUGAGUGGAAUUAUACAAUAUUUGUUAUUUUGUGUCUGGCUGAUUUCACUUAACAGUGUUUUCAAGGUCUAUUCACGUUGUAGCAUGUAUCAUUUAUUUUACAGAAAUAUAGGCAAGAUAAUAUUUCUUUUUUUUUUUUUUUUGACGGAAUCUCACUCUAUCGCCCAGGCUGGAGUGUAGGGGCACGAUCUCGGCUCACUGCGAACUCUGCCUACCAGGGUCACGCCAUUCUCCUGCCUCAGCCUCCCGAGUAGCUGGGACUACAGGCGCCCGCCACCACGCCCAGCUAAUUUUUUGUAUUUUUAGUAGAGACGGGGUUUCACCGUGUUAGCCAGGAUGGUCUCGAUCUCCUGACCUCGUGAUCAGCCCGCCUCGGCCUCCCAAAGUGCUGGGAUUACAGGCGUGAGCCACCGCGCCUGGCCAAGGCUGGAUAAUAUUUCAUUGUAUGUACAGUGGAUCCUCAUUAUUCACAGAUUCCGUAAUUGCAAAUGUGCCUACUUGCUAAAGUUUAUAUGUAAUCCCCAAAUCAGUACCCAUGGGGUUUGUGUGGUCAUUCACCAAUGUGUAGAGUGGCAAAAUCUUUCAAUUGCCUGGUGCUCAUGUUCUCAGCUAAGGUUGAACAAAUCAAUGCUCUGCUUUCUUAUUUCAGCUCUUAUACUAUAAAAAAGUGUCAUUUUUGUGGUCUGUUUGGUAAUACGUUUUCCAUAUGUUUUGUGCUUUUUGUUGUGGAUUUCAGUGUUUAAAAUGUCCCUAACCCUAUGCCUAGUGCUGAAGUGCUGUCUAGGAUCCCUGAAGUGCAAGAAGUCUGUGAUGGAGGCAACAUGUGUGUCAGAUGAGCUUCAUUCAAGCAUGGGUGCUAUUGUCUGUGAGUUCAGUGUUGAUGAAUCAACGAUGUAUAUUGAAGUCUCUUCAAGCAGAAACAUACAUAAAACAAGGUCAUGCACUGAUUAGUUGACCAAAAGAUUGAGUAGAUGCUCACAGGACCCUUUUUUCCCCCAGUAGCAGUGAUUUGGUAUUCACAAAUUCGUUUUUUGCAGUGACUAUAGAACAUAACUACUAUGGGCAACGAGAAUUGACUAUAUAUAGUCAUCCUUUGGUAUCCAUGGGGAUUGGUUCCUGGAAUUCCUGUAACACCAAAAUCCAAAUAUUAUCAAGUCUCAAGUCCUUGUUAUAAAAUCACAUAGUAUUUGUAUAUAACCCAUGCACAUCCUCCUGUAAACCUUAAAACAUCUCUAAAUUACUUAUAAUAUCUAAUACAUUAUAAAUACAAUAUAAAUUUUCUAUAAAUACUAUGUAUACUACUACACUGUAUUUUAAAUAUAAUAUAAAUGUUAUGUAUGUUACUAUGCUAUAUUUGUAUUAUAAAUAUAAUAUUACCAUAAAUACGUAGCAAUUAUAGUAAAGUUUAUAUUUAUAUAAUAUAUAUUUACUUUAAUGUAAUUAUUAAUACACACA